AUUAAGUUAUGAUAAAAAGUCUUUUAGAUUCAUACUUUAAAGGUUAACUUAAUU
rnacentral:tRNA from 1 species